UAGACUGUACUUUCAGGGAUCAUUUCUGUAAUUCGUUACUAGAGAAUUUCUCUGAAUGUGUAGAGCAGUUAAU
rnacentral:snoRNA from 1 species